GGGCCCGCACAAGCGGUGGAGCAUGUGGUUUAAUUCGAAGAUACGCGCAGAACCUUACCAACACUUGACAUGUUCGUCGCGACUCUAAGAGAUUAGAGUUUUCGGUUCGGCCGGACGAAACACAGUUGCUGCAUGGCUGUCGUCAGCUCGUGUCGUGAGAUGUUGGGUUAAGUCCCGCAACGAGCGCAACCCUCACUUUUAGUUGCCAUCAUUAAGUUGGGCACUCUGAAAGAACUGCCAGUGAUAAGCUGGAGGAAGGUGGGGAUGACGUCAAGUCCUCAUGGCCCUUACGUGUUGGGCUACACACGUGCUACAAUGGUAUCUACAACAGGAAGCAAGACUGCGAAGUUAAGCAAAUCCCUAAAACCCUAUCUCAGUUCGGAUUGUACUCUGCAACUCGAGUACAUGAAGGUGGAAUC
rnacentral:rRNA from 1 species